rnacentral:rRNA from 1 species
AUACGAAGGUCCCGAGCGUUAUUCGGAAUCACUGGGCGUAAAGAGUAUGUAGGCGGUUUGGUAAGUCAGGUGUGAAAUCCCGGAGCUCAACUUCGGAACUGCAUCCGAUACUGCCAGACUAGAGUAAUGGAGAGGCAGGUGGAAUUCUCGGUGUAGCAGUGAAAUGCGUGGAUAUCGAGAGGAAGACCAAUGGCGAAGGCAGCCUGCUGGACAUUUACUGACGCUGAGAUACGAAGGCUAGGGGAGCGAAAGGGAUUAGAGACCCCAGUAGUCC